CCCGAGAGCUGAGCUAGCGGCCGUGUCGCGGAGGCGGGACGUGGGGAGCCCAGCAGAGAGCAGCGUAGCGCUCGGUGGGGGCCCCGGCCGGAAGUCCUGGGCCCGCGGCUGGCGAGUUUCUUAGGUCUAUCCAGGUGCUACAGACGGCACAAACCAGCAUCUUCCCCUUGUUGAGACACAUGUAUGAUUUACUCCUUAUCCAGCCAUACGGGUUUAAGCCCGGAGACCUGGUCUGGGUAAACAGGCACCAAAAAGAGACCCUAGGACCUUGCUGGAAGGGGCCACACACCUUGAUACUCGUCACCCCCACGGCUGCUAAGGUGGAUGGCAUCAAGACUUGGAUACAUCAUUCUCAUCUAAAACCUGUGCCCAGCAGCCGCUCAAGCAACCCGGACAAGAGAUGGAGAGUGACCUGGUUACUGGACAAUCCACUCAGGUUGAAACUGACAGCCGAGUCUUGAGUUUCUUCUCCUUGCUCCUUCUCUUCCCCUUCCUUUUCCUUUCCCCACUAACAGGAAACCCCCACCAACCCCAUCUCCUAAAAUGGGAGAUCAUCGACACAGCUAACUUGGAGAUCCUGAACUUCACCACCAAGAUGGCUCCUCUAAACACCUGGUAUAUCCUGACUUGACCUUCAACCUCGCAAUUCUGCUUCGGCUGACAUGGGAUGAUGCGUACAUCCAAAACCACCACUUUUAUGUCUGUCCCGGUAGGAACCAAAACCAGAACACAAGGGUCACCUUGGGGGGGGGAGAACAUUUCUUCUGUAAAUCGUGGUCGUGUCGACUGGGCAUAUCCGGUGGUCGGCCCCCAAUCAAGGUGACUUUAUAACUCUCAGUCGUGUACCAGGAAAAAGUCCAACCUGCCAAAAGCAUAGACAGGCGGAUGGGACAGUUGAGGGCCAUUGCAACCCAGUUAGACUCGCCUUCACUCA